UCUGGUUGUUGACAUGACAGCAGCUGCUGUCAAAGGCAAGAAACGUCUAUAGCAAACUAUUCUUAGUAUGCAGUACUUCUCAGCUGAAGAUCUCAGUUUAAAGGCAGUGAAAUCCACAGAAUCCAAUUUGACAAAUUCCAGAUCCCUGAAGGUGUAGCAGAAUGUUACUGACUCAGAGAACUGCUGGAACAAGACAGAAUCUCUAAGAAAAAUGGCCUGAAUAAAUUCUCCAUGUUUUUGUAAGA